UGGGGAAUAUUGCGCAAUGGGGGAAACCCUGACGCAGCAACGCCGCGUGGGUGAAGAAGGCCUUCGGGUUGUAAAGCCCUUUCGACCUGGAAGAAGGGUGUAUUCCGGAUAAUGGAGUGCAUUUGAUGGUACAGGGGGAAGAAGCACCGGCAACCUUCGUGCCAGCAGCCGCGGUAAUACGAAGGGUGCGAGCGUUGUUCGGAAUUACUGGGCGUAAAGGGUUCGUAGGUGGGAUUGUAAGUUGAGUGUGAAAACCCUGGGCUUAACCUGGGACGUGCAUUCAAAACUGCGAUUCUUGAGUGUUGUAGAGGGUGGUGGAAUUGCUGGUGUAGGAGUGACAUCCGUAGAGAUCAGCAGGAACGCCGGAGGCGAAAGCGACCGCCUGGGCAAACACUGACGCUGAGGAACGAAAGCGUGGGGAGCAAACAGG
rnacentral:rRNA from 1 species